GUUAAAUCAAUUUUUUUUUAUUAUUAUUAUGAAGUGGCAGAUUAAACAGGCUUAGAAAAUAAAUCUUGUUCCACCUCAAAAUCUCUUUUAAUGCAUAAAUUCCUCCACCUAGCCUAACUCUUCACAUAUAGGUCAUUGAUAGAUAUUGCAUUAUCAGCAGAGUAACAAGUUUUGUUUUUUAAAAGAAAUCAUCAAUCCCCAAUUUCUCAUACUAAAAUUUCAUACUCUACUAAUUGAUUGAUUAGUUAGACACAAAUCAUGUCAUCUUUUUAACAUUUCAAUAGCAUGAAAGAAUGAGUAACAAUUCUAAUGACUUAUUAAUUUAAUUCAGAGCUAUUAUACUCGGGCAUCAAUACCCUAAUCUAGUUUAACUAAUGCUUCAACAAAUGAAAAGGGAAAAAUACAAGAAAGAAAUAUAACCUGGUUACUGCUGGUGUCUGUGCUUCGCUUAUCUCCAACAAAUAGACUAUCUAGUGAUGGUGCUGAAAAUAAGAGGCUCAACAGACCUUAAUGGCAGCCUCCACAUGUUGAAUUUCAUU
rnacentral:misc_RNA from 1 species